UCGGGAAUUUUGGGCAAUGGGCGAAAGCCUGACCCAGCAACGCCGCGUGAGGGAUGAAGUAUUUCGGUAUGUAAACCUCGAAAGAAUGGGAAGAAUAAAUGACGGUACCAUUUAUAAGCUCCGGCUAACUACGUGCCAGCCGCCGCGGUAAUACGUAGGGAGCAAGCGUUGUUCGGAUUUACUGGGCGUAAAGGGCGCGUAGGCGGCGCGGUAAGUCACUUGUGAAAUCUCUGAGCUUAACUCAGAACGGCCGAGUGAUACUGCGGUGCUAGAAUGCGGAAGAGGCAACCGGAAUUCGUGGUGUAGCGGUGAAAUGCGUAGAUAUCGAGAGGAACACCUGAGGCGAAGGCGGGUUGCUGGGCCGACACUGACGCUGAUGCGCGAAAGCCAGGGGAGCAAACG
rnacentral:rRNA from 1 species